rnacentral:rRNA from 1 species
CCCUUAGAUGUUCUGGGCCGCACGCGCGCUACAAUGAUGAAUUCAACGAGUUUAUAACCUUGGUUGAAAAGCCUGGGUAAUCUUUUGAACUUUCGUCGUGAUGGGGCUAGACCCUUGCAAUUAUUGGUCUCCAACGAGGAAUUCCUAGUAAACGCAAGUCAUCAGCUUGCAUUGAUUACGUCCCUGCCCUUUGUACACACCGCCCGUCGCACCUACCGAUUGAAUGGUCCGGUGAAAUCUUCGGAUUGAGACUUUGAUUUCUUCACGGAAAACGCUGUUUUAAAAAGUUGGUUAAACCUUACCAUUUAGAGGAAGGUGAAGUCGUAACA